rnacentral:rRNA from 1 species
UGGGGAAUAUUGCACAAUGGACGGAAGUCUGAUGCAGCAACGCCGCGUGCGGGAUGACGGCCUUCGGGUUGUAAACCGCUUUUUCUCAUGACGAAGUUUUUUGACGGUAGUGGGGGAAGAAGCACCGGCUAACUACGUGCCAGCAGCCGCGGUGAUACGUAGGGUGCGAGCGUUGUCCGGAAUUAUUGGGCGUAAAGAGCUUGUAGGCGGUUUGUCGCGUCGAUAGUGCAAACUCAGUGCUUAACGCUGAGCCUGCUGUUGAUACGGGCAGACUAGAGGAAGGUAGGGGAGAAUGGAAUUCCCGGUGGAGCGGUGGAAUGCGCAGAUAUCGGGAGGAACACCGGUGGCGAAGGCGGUUCUCUGGGCCUUUCCUGACGCUGAGAAGCGAAAGAGUGGGGAGCGAACAGG